rnacentral:rRNA from 1 species
CCAGCAGCUGCGGUAAUUCCAGCUCCAAUAGCGUAUAUUAAAGUUGUUGCAGUUAAAACGCUCGUAGUCUGAGUUGGGGUGAGUGGUGGGGGUGUUGUGAAAUACUCUCCAACGCACACUUGUUCUGACAGCAAUGUCGGGGUUACUUUGAGGAAAUUAGGGUGUUCAAAGCAGGCGAUUGCUUGGAUACUGCAGCAUGGAAUAAUGGAAUAGGACUCGCGUCUUAUUUUGUUGGUUUGGAGAUGUGAGUAAUGAUGAAUAGGGACAGUUGGGGGCAUUGGUAUUCAGUAGUCAGAGGUGAAAUUCUUGGAUUUACUGAAGACUAACUAGUGCGAAAGCAUUUGCCAAGGAUGUUUUCAUUGAUCAAGAACGAAAGU